GGUUGCGAUCAUACCAGCACUAAUGCACCAGAUCCCAUCAGAACUCCGCAGUUAAGCGUGCUUGGGCGAGAGUAGUACUAGGAUGGGUGAACUCCGCAGUUAAGCGUGCUUGGGCGAGAGUAGUACUAGGAUGGGUGACCCUCUGGGAAGUCCCCGUGUUGCAACCC
rnacentral:rRNA from 1 species